AUGGAGGAGGACCCAUCGGUCCCUGAAGGUGCCAUCCAGAGCAUUAAGCUUAGCCUAUCCAGCGAGCAUGAGAUACGUACGUAUUCUACAAAUGACUGUCCUGUUACUCAACCAAAACAGCUUAGGGAUUCUUUCCUUGGCUUACCACUCGAAACAGGAGAAUGCAACUCAUGUGGUGCCUCUGAAAAUGGCAAAUCCGAAGGGCAUUUUGGGUACAUUGAGCUGCCUGUAUCUGUAUAUCAUCCUUGUCAUGUUAGUGAACUUAGGCAACUACUGAGCUUGCUAUGUUUGAAGUGCCUUUGUAUCAAGAAAGGAAAGGUUAAGAAGAGCAAUGGAAAGGAAAAUGUGUCGGCAUGUGACUGUCAGGUACUUGUGAACUCUAAUAAAUUCUUCUUAUGCCCUGAA
rnacentral:rRNA from 1 species